rnacentral:rRNA from 1 species
UGGCGGACGGGUGAGUAACACGUGAGCAACCUGCCUUUCAGAGGGGGAUAACGUUUGGAAACGAACGCUAAUACCGCAUAAAAUAUCGGAGUCGCAUGGCACUGAUAUCAAAGGAGCAAUCCGCUGAAAGAUGGGCUCGCGUCCGAUUAGGCAGUUGGCGGGGUAACGGCCCACCAAACCGACAAUCGGUAGCCGGACUGAGAGGUUGAACGGCCACAUUGGGACUGAGACACGGCCCAGACUCCUACGGAAGGCAGCAG